rnacentral:rRNA from 1 species
UACAGAGGUCCCAAGCGUUGUUCGGAUUCAUUGGGCGUAAAGCGUGUGCAGGCGGGGCUACAAGUGGUGUAUGAAAUCGCUCGGCUAAACCGGGCGGGGUUAUGCCAGACUGUAGCUCUUGAGUGCGAGAGAGGGGCAUGGAAUUCCGGGUGUAGUGGUGAAAUGCGUAGAGAUCCGGAGGAACCCCAGAGGCGAAGGCGGUGCCCUGGCUCGCAACUGACGCUCAGACACGACAGCAUGGGGAGCGAACGGG